rnacentral:rRNA from 1 species
UACGUAGGGUGCAAGCGUUAAUCGGAAUUACUGGGCGUAAAGCGUGCGCAGGCGGUGAUGUAAGACAGAUGUGAAAUCCCCGGGCUCAACCUGGGAAUGGCAUUUGUGACUGCCCGGCUAGAGUGUGUCAGAGGGGGGUAGAAUUCCACGUGUAGCAGUGAAAUGCGUAGAGAUGUGGAGGAAUACCGAUGGCGAAGGCAGCCC